rnacentral:tRNA from 1 species
GGCUGGGUAGCUCAGCUGGUUAGAGCGCGCGACUCAUAAUCGCGAGGUCGAAGGUUCGAGUCCUUCCCCAGCUA